ACUUGCAUAGCUUAACCAAAAGCCUAGCACUGAAAAUGCUAAGACGAACCUAACAAUUCUGCUAGUA
rnacentral:tRNA from 1 species